UGGAUGUCUAAACUUCUUUUCAAUAACAAAAGUCACCUACUCUGCUGCUGUUGAAAAAAAGUCACCUACUCCCCCAUCUUUAUAUUCUGGCUAUCUCUCUUUUCUUUUUCUUACUUCUACGUUCUACCACAUCAAGUAGCACGCGAAGAGAUAGCUAUUUUUUGUGGUGGGUGUACUGUGAGCCUUUCAAUAGUCUUCAGAAAUUAUCUUUUAACUUAUUCUAGGAAAUUCCUUAAUAUCAGAUCCAACAAAAAGAACAAGGUGUUAACAUUAUGUCGUUGGAGUUCAAAUCGAUGGCUUUGGAUGUGACCGUGGAAGAGGUCGUUGAUUUGUGAUGAGCCAAUACAUUGGUAAACGGUUCCAACAGGAUGCCAUGUGAGAUGUUACAGUGUUGGGAAAUUAUUUUUAUGUCAGUGUUAGCUUUGGUUAUAUUAGGAAACGUUCAAAUGAGGGACUACAGGUGUUCAACUGAAGAAAGUCGAGAAGAAUGAAGACUGAAGUUAAAUGGUCAAAGAGGACUAAUAUUGAAGACAUUGGGUACUUGGAGGACUGUUAUCUAUCUUGAAGAUAAAAGACUUGAUAUUUCGAAAUGUUUAUCCUGAUGAGAGGCACCGAUUAUAUAAUAUAUCUUCAAAAGAUCAUCUCAACAUUAUAUUCUUCUCUUAUUUUUGCUAUUUUUGUAUAUACAUUCAUAUUAAAGAAUCUGUAUUCUAUAUUCAUAUGAUUAUCAUCUUUAUCAUAUGAUUUAUUUCUAAUAAUAAUUCUGUAAUAACUUGUAAACUCUUUGUAUUGUGUUUAUAUACAUAAUAAAUACUAUAAUUGAUUCUUGGUUCAAUUCCAGAGAUCUUACAUACAGGUGUGGUAUCAUGAUUCAAGUUGAACUGAGAAGAUGAUCGAGGUGGAGGUCAGGUGUCCAGGAAAAGUUGAGAUGGUUUGAGCCUUUGAGGUGAGGCUAUUUUGACGGGAUCCUUACUAUGAAGAACAUCGAUGGUGAUUGUUGGGUUAAUCGACUUGUUCAUGGGUCACGAGUCAGUGGGUCAGACGGGUAAUGUUUUCACGGGCUGUGAGGUUUGGAUAAGGGUCAGAUUUGACUCUAAACUAGCAGCAGAAGCAUUCCAUAUUGCUCAUGUUUUAUUAUAGUUUAAAUAAGUAAACUUUGGGUUUCUCCUCCAAGGUGAUCACAAUACUUACAUACUCUUCCAUAUUUCAUUUUGCAAUUCCUAUUGUAGCCUUCCUUCCAAUCCUUAUAUCUUUUUAUUAAUUUCUUCUUCUAUUUUGCCACUUAGUUUCUUUACAACGGGGUUAAAAAUACCCGCUUUUACCUGUUUACAUCUAUUUUCCUUUACUUUGAUGUCAAACCCUUGACAUCUAAGUUGCAGAAGACUAAGUACAUUCAUUUAUUGUUGGUGCAUUUGACACAUCAGGGAUAACUAACUUGGUACCAUCACAAGCCACAGUGGCCUCACCAACGCCAUAAAUCAGACCUCAGAACUCAAUACCAUCACAGAGCACAGUGGUCUCACCGACCCCAUCAAUCAUCGUAGGUUUUCCAUUCAACUCUUCUUGAUGGUUAUUUAGUCUAAGUUACAUGUCGUGGGUUUUUGAUACAGGUUACAUUUGGCUCUAUGCUUGGAGCAGAAGACCGCGUUGAGGUUUGUAAGUAUAUGUUGCAGUUGUGAUUAGGGAUGUGCACGGGUCAAAACCCGGCCCGACCCGGCCCGAACCGUCAUGACCCGUGACCCGAAAGUGCAAGAAAAAUGGAACCGAAACCCGGCCCGUUGACCCCCCGGGCGGGUCGGUUCGGGCCCAGGUUCUACCGGGUCGGGUUCGGGUUUUUAAGGUUGACCCGGAAAAUAGCUUGCUUGAACUUUUGUCUUGAGAGAAAGGUAGAAACCAUGAGAAUGAUGAUAUACUGAUGAAGACUUUUCAAUGGGGUAUUCCACUAUUGAUGUUCACUUUGUUUUUAGUAGGCGUUUGAUUUGAAAAUUAAAAUGAAAGAUUUCUGAUAGAUUGAGGCUUCGAUGAAAGUGAUAGAUUUGAGGCUUCAAUAUAGAGAUGAAUAUGGUUGCGGUUUUGAAAAUGGAUUGAGGAUGUUUCAAGAUUGUAUCCAUUCAUAUCUUCUUUAUAUAUUUUAAGUUUUAAAACCAA